rnacentral:rRNA from 1 species
CCUUGUACACACCGCCCGUCAAACCAUGGGAGUUGUUUGUACCCGAAGUCGCUGAAGUUAGUCGAAAGACGGCUGGCGCCUAAGGUAUGAGCGAUGACUGGGGUU